rnacentral:rRNA from 1 species
UACGGAGGGUGCAAGCGUUAUCCGGAUUUAUUGGGUUUAAAGGGUCCGUAGGCGGACUUAUAAGUCAGUGGUGAAAGCCUGUCGCUUAACGAUAGAACUGCCAUUGAUACUGUAAGUCUUGAGUAUAUUUGAGGUAGCUGGAAUAAGUAGUGUAGCGGUGAAAUGCAUAGAUAUUACUUAGAACACCAAUUGCGAAGGCAGGUUACCAAGAUAUAACUGACGCUGAGGGACGAAAGCGUGGGGAGCGAACAGGAUUAGAUACCCCGGUAGUCC